AGUGAACGCUGGCGGUAGGCCUAACACAUGCAAGUCGAACGGCAGCACAGUAAGAGCUUGCUCUUACGGGUGGCGAGUGGCGGACGGGUGAGGAAUACAUCGGAAUCUACUUUUUCGUGGGGGAUAACGUAGGGAAACUUACGCUAAUACCGCAUACGACCUACGGGUGAAAGCAGGGGAUCUUCGUACCUUGCGCGAUUGAAUGAGCCGAUGUCGGAUUAGCUAGUUGGCGGGGUAAAGGCCCACCAAGGCGACGAUCCGUAGCUGGUCUGAGAGGAUGAUCAGCCACACUGGAACUGAGACACGGUCCAGACUCCUACGGGAGGCAGCAGUGGGGAAUAUUGGACAAUGGGCGCAAGCCUGAUCCAGCCAUACCGCGUGGGUGAAGAAGGCCUUCGGGUUGUAAAGCCCUUUUGUUGGGAAAGAAAAGCAGCAGGUUAAUACCCCGCUGUUCUGACGGUACCCAAAGAGUAAGCACCGGCUAACUUCGUG
rnacentral:rRNA from 1 species